CUACGGGUGGCUCCAGUGGGGAAUUUUGCGCAAUGGGGGAAACCCUGACGCAGCAAUACCGCGUGAGUGAAGAAGGCCUUUGGGUCGUAAAGCUCUUUUCUUGGGGAAGAUAGUGACGGUACCCAAGGAAUAAGCACCGGCUAACUCCGUGCCAGCAGCCGCGGUAAUACGGAGGGUGCAAGCGUUGUUCGGAUUUACUGGGCGUAAAGGGCACGUAGGCGGCACAGCAAGUUAAGGGUGAAAUCCCGGGGCUCAACUCCGGAACUGCUCUUAAAACUGCUGAGCUAGAGAUAGUCAGAGGCGGGUGGAAUUCCUGGUGUAGAGGUGAAAUUCGUAGAUAUCUGGAGGAACACCGGUGGCGAAGGCGGCCCGCUGGGGCUAUUCUGACGCUAAGGUGCGAAAGCGUGGGGAGCAAACGGGAUUAGAUACCCGUGUAGUC
rnacentral:rRNA from 1 species